GACGAACGCUGGCGGCGUGCUUAACACAUGCAAGUCGAACGGAAAGGCCCUGCUUGCCGGGUACUCGAGUGGCGAACGGGUGAGUAACACGUGGGUGAUCUGCCCUGCACUUCGGGAUAAGCCUGGGAAACUGGGUCUAAUACCGGAUAGGAGCCAUUUUUAGUGUGAUGGUUGGAAAGUUUUUUCGGUGUAGGAUGAGCUCGCGGCCUAUCAGCUUGUUGGUGGGGUAAUGGCCUACCAAGGCGGCGACGGGUAGCCGGCCUGAGAGGGUGGACGGCCACAUUGGGACUGAGAUACGGCCCAGACUCCUACGGGAGGCAGCAGUGGGGAAUAUUGCACAAUGGGCGCAAGCCUGAUGCAGCGACGCCGCGGGGGGGAUGACGGCCUUCGGGUUGUAAACUCCGUUCGCUAGGGACGAAGCUUUUUGUGACGGUACCUAGAGAAGAAGCACCGGCUAACUACGUG
rnacentral:rRNA from 1 species